GACAGAGGGUGCUAGCGUUGUUCGGAAUUACUGGGCGUAAAGGGCGCGUAGGCGGCUUGGCAAGUGGAAGGUGAAAUCCCUCGGCUUAACCGAGGAACUGCCUUCCAGACUGCUUUGCUUGAGGCCGGGAGAGGCGAGUGGAAUUCCCAGUGUAGCGGUGAAAUGCGUAGAUAUUGGGAGGAACACCAGUGGCGAAGGCGGCUCGCUGGACCGGUUCUGACGCUGAGGCGCGAAAGCGUGGGGAGCAAACGGG
rnacentral:rRNA from 1 species